AUUGAACGCUGGCGGCAUGCUUUACACAUGCAAGUCGGACGGCAGCGGGGUAGUGCUUGCACUACUGCCGGCGAGUGGCGAACGGGUGAGUAAUAUAUUGGAACGUACCGAGUAAUGGGGGAUAACCAAUCGAAAGAUUGGCUAAUACCGCAUACGCUCUGAGGAGGAAAGCAGGGGACCUUCGGGCCUUGCGUUAUUCGAGCGGCCAAUAUCUGAUUAGCUAGUUGGUGGGGUAAGGGCCUACCAAGGCGACGAUCAGUAGCGGGUCUGAGAGGAUGAUCCGCCACACUGGGACUGAGACACGGCCCAGACUCCUACGGGAGGCAGCAGUGGGGAAUUUUGGACAAUGGGCGCAAGCCUGAUCCAGCCAUGCCGCGUGUCUGAAGAAGGCCUUCGGGUUGUAAAGGACUUUUGUUAGGGAAGAAAAAGGAGCGGUUAAUACCCGUUUCUGCUGACGGUACCUAAAGAAUAAGCACCGGCUAACUACGUGCCAGCAGCCGCGGUAAUACGUAGGGUGCGAGCGUUAAUCGGAAUUACUGGGCGUAAAGCGAGCGCAGACGGUUACUUAAGCAGGAUGUGAAAUCCCCGGGCUCAACCUGGGAACUGCGUUCUGAACUGGGUAGCUAGAGUAUGUCAGAGGGGGGUAGAAUUCCACGUGUAGCAGUGAAAUGCGUAGAGAUGUGGAGGAAUACCGAUGGCGAAGGCAGCCCCCUGGGAUAAUACUGACGUUCAUGCUCGAAAGCGUGGGUAGCAAACAGG
rnacentral:rRNA from 1 species